rnacentral:lncRNA from 1 species
CGGAACUACAUCCACAGGGCAGAUGCCAAGCAAGAGGAGGACAGCUAUGAAAUCUUCAUAUGCCAUGCCAAUGUUAUACGCUACAUUGUCUGCAGAGCGCUGCAGUUCCCUCCAGAAGGCUGGCUCCGUCUCUCCCUCAACAAUGGCAGCAUCACCCACCUCGUGAUCCGACCGGAUGGCCGAGUAGCACUCAGGACCCUUGGGGACACGGGGUUCAUGCCCCCCAACAAGAUCACCCGGUCUUGAGGGCCCCUCUGGGACUCCACCCUUCUCUGCGUGCAGCCUGGUUCAGCCUUCCCUCUUGUUCCUUGUCCAGGUUGCAGUGCAGCUUUGAGGAAGAUGUUGUGGGAACGUCUCAGAUGCUGGGGACACUUGUGUCUGGCCCACUGAAAGGGAGACCUUCAGGCCAAACAGCCUGACUUCCUUCCUUUGGCCUGCCAGGACAGCCCCGUGGGUGUGGGAUGAGGACCUUCUCAGGCAAGAGGACAGCCUGUGCUGGGCUUUGAACAAGCCCUGCUUGCCAUCCUUCUGGACCACCAUGGCAGGCCUGCAUGGGUGGCCAAAGCAGCAAGUGACUCUGGGCUCCGCCCAAGCUGGUGCAGCAGGACAAGCUUUCUAAACAACUCAUUUCAUUCACAUGUUCUUAUUCUGAAAAGCCUUUGUCACUUCAGUGUUCRUCAAUUAAAACCUAUUCCUCAUUUGGGUUCUUGCUUUGAAAACCAAUUUCUCACCAGAGUGAGAGAUCCUGACGCUGUAGGAUCUAAAGGCACAGGGACUGGCAAGCCGCACAGUGGAUUUGGGUGAGAGAGGAAGUGAGUCUGGAGUGCCAUGUCCAGGGGUUGGCCACACCAGGCAGGGACUGCGGGCUUGUGAUGGCCAGGCAGGGAAGAUACCCAGGGCUGACAUCUCUAUCCUAGUCUGCUCCUGGCCACAGUUCAUCUUCUGGGCUUGUGGGUUAACAUUUGGACAUGAUAUGCCUACCCCAAAUAUCUGUUAAUUCAACAAAAGCAGUCCAGUUUCUACGAAGUGCUCAUGAACACUUUCAGUAAUCAAUACAAUGAAUUGGGAUAUUUGAUCCAUUUCUCUGGCCUCUUUGGAAAUAACUACAUAAUAAAUUUUUAAAAAUACAAAUCGUGAUUUUUUUU